UACGGGGGGGGCAAGCGUUGUUCGGAAUUACUGGGCGUAAAGGGCUCGUAGGCGGCCAACUAAGUCAGACGUGAAAUCCCCGAGCUCAACUCGGGAACUGCGUCCGAUACUGGCGGGCUUGAAUCCGGGAGAGGGAUGCGGAAUUCCAGGUGUAGCGGUGAAAUGCGUAGAUAUCUGGAGGAACACCGGUGGCGAAGGCGGCAUCCUGGACCGGCAUUGACGCUGAGGCGCGAAAGCUAGGGGAGCAAACGGG
rnacentral:rRNA from 1 species